UCAAUUUUCUUUUUUGUUGGAAAAAUUCCCUUUUCUACUUUACUCUUUCAAUAUCAGAUCUUUUUAAUUUUUCUCUGAUAUGAUCUAAUUUUUCCAUGAUAUGGCAUGUGAUGUGGUCUGAUUAUUAAAUUUUGGGCUUUGCAUAUUGUGAUUUUUGCAAGCUAAGACUUCAAUCUCUGGAAAUCAGGCUUUUACAUUUUCGUUCUUUAUUUCACAUUCUUGGGUCCUUAUUUUGAUUUAUUUACUCAUGCAUGUUUCGAAAAUUGAUACCUGAGCGCAUAAUUUGGAAUAGUAGAUAAAUACACUUAAUCUCAAAAGUAAUUACUACUUCAAGAUUCCUACAGCUAUAUUAGAAGCAGCAAUUGAGUGGGACGAACACUGAACUAACUGAUUGUGCAAAAGGCAAUGUACAAUGUACUGUAAGCGCUGGUCCAUUUUAUUGGUAGUCAAGACUUUUUCUAUAGACACAAUUCGUGUCAAUUGAAUUGCUCUCUUCUUCUAGAGUUUCAAAGAGAGAGAAAUCUGUGGGCGUGGAGCUUAAUCCACUAGAUGUCUUAGUUUUGGUGUUCUUCGUGUUCAGACUUUUCAAUGACAAAGCUAUUUUUUUUCUUUUUGUCACUCAUUCUCUAUAUUGCCUUUUGGUUCUGCAUUUAUAUCAAAAUUUCUCCAGCUUUGCCAUUAAUUAGCAUAUGUGGAUUCUGAGUUCUGCGUAGUUCUUCUCAGCUCUUUCUUGAAAAUUGCUAUCUAGAACAAAAAUAGUAAUGACAAAGGGAAGAACUUUGAUGCCACCUGUGUCUGAUGAAAUCUCCCAGCAAAAUGAGGGCGUCUAUGGCGUGAAGAGAAAUUAGCUCCAAAAAUUAAUCGGUUGAUAGUACCAAUAAUGGCUAAUGAAGCUCAGUUACAGACUUCGCUCUAUUUAAUGGAUCCUAUGCUUUUGUCUCAAUAUUUCUUACUUUACUGUCUACAAGGAGUUACCAGCUAAGUGUAAAGUGUUUCUAGAUUUAAUUUUAUUUGAUGUUCUUUGAAAAUUGUAUUCCAUUUGCUUGCAUGUGUAUUUCUAUUGCAGUAUGACUGCAAAUUAGAUAUAACUGUAAGAAUGAGUAGAAAAUUUCUCAUGUGAUAUCUUUUUAAUUUAGAAUUCUUUCAAACAAACUGAAAAAAAUUAUCGUAUGUCAGGAAUUCCUGCUUCCAGAGGAUUUAUUUUCUAUGUGAUCUUUUAACUUCCAUGUAAUAUGACUUAUUGAGGAAUUUUUUGUGAAUGUUGUUGAAUUCUUUGAUAUUACUGUGAAAUUAGCAGUGAAAAUAAAGGUUGAAACUCAAGGAGCCGGGAGCCAUAGUGCAAAUGAAAGAUUAUAAUUUUGCUCAUAUGGGAAAGGAAUGUUGAUUAUGGCAUAUAUUAGUUAGACACAUCUUAUGAUGAAUAAGGGAAGCUGAAUACUUCAGCUGAAAAAUGCAAAUGAGGAGAGCAAUAACAUGACAAAUGCCUCGAGCACCUGCACAAUUCAUCACCAUUGUUAUCCCAUAAAUACUUGACUUCCUCUUUAGCGUACCUGACAGAAAAUAAUGCAGCCAUCAAGCAAUGGGAAUUUCCAACUCUCCUGUUUGAGGCUUUAAGCGCAGAGCUAUCCAAAUAAAUUUUCUACUGUUGAAGAGGAGGAAAUAAUUAUUUAAGAUUAAGUUUUUGCAGCGAAAGAGAGAUAUUAAUUCUGUACAACUGUUGUUGCCAAUGUUCUUGCUACUGUAACUCAAGACGGCCAGACUUGAAGAGCUUAGUGCAAGGGUCUUAAAAAACCAAUGGAAUGCGAUCUCAUAGGCAAUUUCUUAUGAGGGCUGGACAUUUUCUACCUUUAUGAGAGAUGAAACAACAAAAUUCUGUUAUAUUUUAGCUUCUCACUUCCUUCACGAAACCUAGAUUGGUUUAUAUAUAUUUUGUUUUUUGGUUGAAUGUAACUAUGUUAAUUGAGCUUUUUUAAGUGGCAAUAAGGAACUCCCACAUGAGUACACUA